rnacentral:tRNA from 2 species
CCUUCGAUAGCUCAGUUGGUAGAGCGGAGGACUGUAGUGGCUUACAGCUGAAAUCCUUAGGUCGCUGGUUCGAAUCCGGCUCGAAGGA